rnacentral:rRNA from 1 species
AUGAGCAUAUCCGAGCAAUGCCUUCAACAAGGUAAUGACACAAAAAACAUCGUCAUUGCCAGGUAUAACCAACUUGGCAAACCUAGAUUUUCACCUCGGAGCUCGUUGAAGUCAAUCAUGUGUUAUCGCUGCCACUUUUCCACGAUCCCAGCAACUACAUGCGACGGGCUAGAACCGACCGUCGCCGUUACACAACCAUACCUCUGCGUCAAGCCAUCGUCUGUAGAUUGCUUCUCACCGCCGAAGAAAACCACCAAAUCUGGAGAAAGAAACCCUCACAAAGAUCUUUCGAUGACCACCACAAUCCGCAGCAGGGUGCCGGAGAUGGCGAAGUCAGAUCCAACAAAUCAACCAGUCCAGACAACCAUUGGCGCAGACACGGCAACCGCAACACAACCAUGGAGACCGCCGGCGGCGCCAAAAGCCCUAGCCACAAGUGCCGCUUCAGUCCGUGCCCACAUAGAGCUGGUGUUGGCCGCGGCGCGAGCCACGCAUGGGCAGCGAGAUCCAGUCGCGGAGGGGAAGACGAGGAGGAGGAUGGGCUAG